rnacentral:rRNA from 1 species
UGAAUUGACGGGACCGCACAAGCGGUGGAUGAUGUGGAUUAAUUCGAUGCAACGCGAAAACCUUACCUACCCUUGACAUGUCUGGAACCUUGGUGAGAGCCGAGGGUGCCUUCGGGAGCCAGAACACAGGUGCUGCAUGGCUGUCGUCAGCUCGUGUCGUGAGAUGUUGGGUUAAGUCCCGCAACGAGCGCAACCCUUAUCCCUAGUUGCCAUCAGGUAAAGCUGGGAACUCUGGGGAGACUGCCGGUGAUAAACCGGAGGAAGGCGGGGAUGACGUCAAGUCCUCAUGGCCCUUACAUCCCGGGCUACACACGUGCUACAAUGGCAGGUACAGAGGGCUGCGAAGCCGCGAGGUGGAGCGAAUCCCAGAAAACCUGUCUCAGUCCGGAUUGGAGUCUGCAACUCGACUUCAUGAAGGCGGAAUCGCUAGUAACCGCGAAUCAGCAGGUCGCGGUGAAUACGUUCCCGGGCCUU